AUCUUUUGUCUCUUUCUGUUCUCAGGACUCCAACUAAGCGUCUAAAGAACUGUCACCCAGAGCAUUGUUCCCAAGGGAGACCAGAGCCUGCACACCCCCACGCACCUCGGGCCAAGAAUCCCGGUCGGGUUACAAGGACAGCCUAUGUGGUCCUUUUGGAAAAACGGGAGCGAGCCCAAGUGAGGAGCCGGCCGAGGUGACUCAAGUUAACUCAAGGCCUUGGAGACCCUGCUACUGAGAACAGGACAGGAAAGGACCUGGCGCAGCGGCUGUGUCCCCACCAUGGGCCAGAACUGC
rnacentral:lncRNA from 1 species